rnacentral:rRNA from 1 species
UACGUAGGGACCAAGCGUUGUUCGGAAUUACUGGGCGUAAAGGGCGCGUAGGCGGCCACCUAAGUCAGACGUGAAAUCCCUCGGCUCAACCGGGGAACUGCGUCUGAUACUGGGCGGCUUGAAUUCGGGAGAGGGAUGCGGAAUUCCAGGUGUAGCGGUGAAAUGCGUAGAGAUCGGGAGGAACAUCCGUGGCGAAGGCGACUACCUGGACCAGCACUGACACUGAGGCACGAAAGCGUGGGGAGCAAACAGG